rnacentral:lncRNA from 1 species
GAAGAAAAUAGCUGUUACUAGGGCUCCCACAGUUUACGAUAAGCUUAGGAACGAGAAGGACCCUAGAGAUGAACAUGAGAAAACGGGUCUAUAGAAUAUCUGUAACCAACCGCGAACCAAUUAACAAGCAGCUUAUAUUGGGAUCACCAACAGAACCCUGGCCCAGGAGUAUAAAACUGAUAUUAUAAAAGCCAGAUUAACAAUAGUGCUGGUGACAAAUGUCUAUACUACUGAUAUCACUAUAUGUUAGGAUCAAGCAAAAGUCAUUAAACUGGUGAGUAAUAAAUCCCAGGCCCUUAGUACAGAAAUUAUUGAAAUGCUGAAGAGGCAAACACAGAGCUUCUCAAUGACCUCCCAGCAUCCCAAGUGUCACAAGCAUGGAAAUAUCUAUUUCAGAAAUUUAGAGAGAAUUCUAAAGCUAGACGUUAUACUCACCGCACUCCAAAAGCAUAUGAGUAAGUUCUAUGUAAAGAGUGAGGACCUCAUUAAAGUUCAAAAGUACCUGCUAGACCAUGCUGAUAUAACCUAGCCUUGCUUAAAUGCUGCACCUAUGAGUGGAAUGAUUACCUUGUUAAUUUAAGGACUUUUAUUAUUUUAUUAUAUUUUUAAUAUAUGGCUAUUUUGU